UACGUAGGUGGCAAGCGUUGUCCGGAAUUAUUGGGCGUAAAGCGCGCGCAGGCGGCCUCCUAAGUCCGAUGUGAAAUCCCUCGGCUUAACCGGGGAACUGCAUCCGAUACUGGAUGGCUUGAGUUCGGGAGAGGGAUGCGGAAUUCCAGGUGUAGCGGUGAAAUGCGUAGAUAUCUGGAGGAACACCGGUGGCGAAGGCGGCAUCCUGGACCGACACUGACGCUGAGGAGCGAAAGCCAGGGGAGCAAACGGG
rnacentral:rRNA from 1 species